GGGCAACCCUGGUGGCGAGUGGCGAACGGGUGAGUAAUAAAUCGGAACGUGCCCAGUAGUGGGGGAUAACCAGUCGAAAGACUGGCUAAUACCGCAUACGACCUACGGGUGAAAGCGGGGGACCGCAAGGCCUCGCGCUAUCGGAGCGGCCGAUUCCCGAUUAGCUAGUUGGUGGGGUAAAAGCUCACCAAGGCGAUGAUCGGUAGCUGGUCUGAGAGGACGGCCAGCCACACUGGGACUGAGACACGGCCCAGACUCCUACGGGAGGCAGCAGUGGGGAAUUUUGGACAAUGGGCGAAAGCCUGAUCCAGCCAUGCCGCGUGCGGGAAGAAGGCCUUCGGGUUGUAAACCGCUUUUGGCAGGAACGAAACGGCGCGAGCUAAUACCGCGCGCUAAUGACGGUACCUGCAGAAUAAGCACCGGCUAACUACGUGCCAGCAGCCGCGGUAAUACGUAGGGUGCGAGCGUUAAUCGGAAUUACUGGGCGUAAAGCGUACGCAGGCGGCUUGAUAAGACAGAUGUGAAAUCCCCGGGCUUAAC
rnacentral:rRNA from 1 species